GAGACAGGUGCUGCAUGGCUGUCGUCAGCUCGUGUUGUGAAAUGUUGGGUUAAGUCCCGCAACGAGCGCAACCCUUAUCCUUUGUUGCCAGCGGUUAGGCCGGGAACUCAAAGGAGACUGCCAGUGAUAAACUGGAGGAAGGUGGGGAUGACGUCAAGUCAUCAUGGCCCUUACGAGUAGGGCUACACACGUGCUACAAUGGCGCAUACAAAGAGAAGCGACCUCGCGAGAGCAAGCGGACCUCAUAAAGUGCGUCGUAGUCCGGAUUGGAGUCUGCAACUCGACUCCAUGAAGUCGGAAUCGCUAGUAAUCGUAGAUCAGAAUGCUACGGUGAAUACGUUCCCGGGCCUUGUACACACCGCCCGUCACACCAUGGGAGUGGGUUGCAAAAGAAGUAGGUAGCUUAACCUUCGGGAGGGCGCUUACCACUUUGUGAUUCAUGACUGGGGUGAAGUCGUAACAAGGUAACCGUAGGGGAACCUGCGGUUGGAUCACCUCCUUA
rnacentral:rRNA from 2 species